rnacentral:rRNA from 1 species
GACGAACGCGGCGGCGUGCCUAAUACAUGCAAGUAGAACGCUGAAGGAGGAGCUUGCUCUUUCCGGAUGAGUUGCGAACGGGUGAGUAACGCGUAGGUAACCUGCCUGGUAGCGGGGGAUAACUAUUGGAAACGAUAGCUAAUACCGCAUAAUAGCAGUUAUUGCAUGAUAACUGUUUGAAAGGUGCAAAUGCACCACUACCAGAUGGACCUGCGUUGUAUUAGCUAGUUGGUGAGGUAACGGCUCACCAAGGCGACGAUACAUAGCCGACCUGAGAGGGUGAUCGGCCACACUGGGACUGAGACACGGCCCAGACUCCUACGGGAGGCAGCAGUAGGGAAUCUUCGGCAAUGGACGGAAGUCUGACCGAGCAACGCCGCGUGAGUGAAGAAGGUUUUCGGAUCGUAAAGCUCUGUUGUAAGAGAAGAACGAGUGUGAGAGUGGAAAGUUCACACCGUGACGGAUCUACCAGAA